GUUGAAACACCAGUUCCCAUACAAUCACCAAAGUUAAACAACGUCAAGCCUAAUCAGUAUCUAGAUGGAUGACCACUUGAGAAUACCAGGUGCUGUA